UACGUAUGGUUCAGGCGUUAUUCGGAUUUACUGGGUGUAAAGGGAGCGUAGACGGCAUAGCAAGUCUGAAGUGAAAUGCGGGGGCUCAACCCCUGAACAGCUUUGGAAACUGUUAGGCUGGAGUGUCGGAGAGGUUAGUGGAGUUCCUAGUGUAGCGGUGAAAUGCGUAGAUAUUAGGAGGAACACCGGUGGCGAAGGCGGCUAACUGGUCGAUAACUGACGUUGAGGCUCGAAAGCGUGGGGAGCAAAC
rnacentral:rRNA from 1 species